rnacentral:lncRNA from 1 species
AUGAGCAUGGUGCUGGCACUGGGACACCACAGUGGCCCUGGACACCCUAACACAGCCCCUUGUUUCUUACUUGGUGGCCAGUACAGGGGAUGGUUUGGUCUUGGCAGGAAUAGGGGGAGCAGGAACUGCCCUUUUGGUGAGUGGGAUCUUGGUUGGCUCCAUCCUCGCUGGUGCUGGGAGCUCUGGGGAGAGGCAGGAACAGGGCUGGGGCUGAGAUCAGCACUACCAAGAGUGGGGCAGGAAGCACUUCCUGCUGUGACAUGCCCUGGCCCAGGGGACCCGUCCCAGGCACAUCCCUGCCCUUCCCUGUCCCCCAGGACUCACCGGGGGGGCUCCCCGUCCUUGCCCUCCUUGUCCUUCGCUGUGGUUCCGGCUGCCAGGGAGCAAAGGGGCUCGUCAGGCGCUGGGGAAGGAUCCUUGUCACAGCCUCUCCCAGCCCCGCUGUGGUCGGCGCUUUGGUUCCGGCUGCCAGGGAGCAAAGGGGCUCGUCAGGCGCUGGGGAAGGAUCCUUGUCACAGCCUCUCCCAGCCCUGCUGUGGUCGGCGCUUCCUCUGCGUGUGGCGGACCAGGCAGCUGCAGAGUUCUCCUGAGCAGCAGCACGGGCCGCACAAGACGUCAUCCCACCACCAUCCUCAGCACAGCAGCAUCCCUGCACUGCUGAACCCCGGGGUGACACCAGGACAAGCCUGGUGGCACGGUGAGGUACAGGACGCCAGGCCAUGGGCAUGGCAGGGCCCCCUGUCCCCAUGGCAGGGCCCCCUGUCACCAUGGCUGGCCACACCAUCACUGCCAUCGGUCGCCAUGUCCCCACGGUUGGCCAGCAGCCAUGGUGCUGCCUGCUCCCUGCUGCUGCCACCAGCACAGCCCUUGCCACAGAGGCCAUGCAGACACCAAAAAUGGCGCUGGCAUUACCCACCCAAAGAUACGGCGGAAGCCCCAAGGGCUGCAGGGAUGAGGACACCCCCAUCCAAGGCCCAGUGCUCCUUUGCUCUGGUGGCACAGGGGUGA